rnacentral:rRNA from 1 species
UUCUAAGGGCGUUGAAGCAUGAUCGCAAGGACAUGUGGAGCGCUUAGAAGUGAGAAUGCCGGUGUGAGUAGCGAAAGACGGGUGAGAAUCCCGUCCACCGAUUGACUAAGGUUUCCAGAGGAAGGCUCGUCCGCUCUGGGUUAGUCGGGUCCUAAGCUGAGGCCGACAGGCGUAGGCGAUGGAUAACAGGUUGAUAUUCCUGUACCACCAUUAUUCGUUUUAAGCGAUGGGGGGACGCAGUAGGAUAGGCGAAGCGUGCUGUUGGAGUGCACGUCCAAGCAGUGAGAUUGAGUGUUAGGCAAAUCCGGCACUCUUAAGAUUGAGCUGUGAUGGGGAGAGGAACUUGUUCCUCGAGUCGUUGAUUUCACACUGCCGAGAAAAGCCUCUAGCUAGAAUAACGGUGCCCGUACCGCAAACCGACACAGGUAGUCAAGAUGAGAAUUCUAAGGUGAGCGAGCGAACUCUCGUUAAGGAACUCGGCAAAAUGACCCCGUAACUUCGGGAGAAGGGGUGCUCUUUGAGGUUCACGCUUCGAAGAGCCGCAGUGAAUAGGCCCAAGCGACUGUUUAUCAAAAACACAGGUCUCUGCUAAACCGUAAGGUGACGUAUAGGGGCUGACGCCUGCCCGGUGCUGGAAGGUUAAGAGGAGUGGUUAGCGCAAGCGAAGCUACGAAUCGAAGCCCCAGUAAACGGCGGCCGUAACUAUAACGGUCCUAAGGUAGCGAAAUUCCUUGUCGGGUAAGUUCCGACCCGCACGAAAGGCGUAACGAUUUGGGCACUGUCUCAACGAGAGACUCGGUGAAAUCAUAGUACCGGUGAAGAUGCCGGUUACCCGCGACAGGACGGAAAGACCCCGUGGAGCUUUACUGUAGCCUGAUAUUGAAAUUCGGUACAGUUUGUACAGGAUAGGUAGGAGCCUUAGAAGCGUGAGCGCUAGCUUACGUGGAGGCAUUGGUGGGAUACUACCCUAAUUGUAUUGGAUUUCUAACCCGCAGCACUUAUCGUGCUGGGAGACAGUGUCAGGCGGGCAGUUUGACUGGGGCGGUCGCCUCCUAAAGAGUAACGGAGGCGCUCAAAGGUUCCCUCAGAAUGGUUGGAAAUCAUUCAUAGAGUGUAAAGGCAUAAGGGAGCUUGACUGCGAGACCUACAAGUCGAGCAGGGUCGAAAGACGGACUUAGUGAUCCGGUGGUUCCGCAUGGAAGGGCCAUCGCUCAACGGAUAAAAGCUACCCCGGGGAUAACAGGCUUAUCUCCCCCAAGAGUUCACAUCGACGGGGAGGUUUGGCACCUCGAUGUCGGCUCAUCGCAUCCUGGGGCUGUAGUCGGUCCCAAGGGUUGGGCUGUUCGCCCAUUAAAGCGGUACGCGAGCUGGGUUCAGAACGUCGUGAGACAGUUCGGUCCCUAUCCGUCGUGGGCGUAGGAAAUUUGAGAGGAGCUGUCCUUAGUACGAGAGGACCGGGAUGGACAUACCUCUGGUGUACCAGUUGUCGUGCCAACGGCAUAGCUGGGUAGCUAUGUAUGGACGGGAUAAGUGCUGAAAGCA